CUUUACAUGCAGGCGUCAAAAGCUAUUCCUGGCUGUUUUAUUCUCUAGGCCAUUUUAUGGCCUUAUUUUUCUGCAUCAGAAAACUUCAAGUGUUAGAGUAUCUUCUGCUACCUUCCUCAUUAGUCAAAGGAGAGACCUUCCCCUGCCCUCCCACAUCAUCCCUCCUGUUACUGCCCACACAUCUCUUCUUUACAAUAUUAAGCAAAAGAUAGUUUUGUAAGGUACGUGCCUGUGUUGAAAGUAUUACCCCUUCAAUCAGUCCCCAGCAAGGGUCCUCCUGCCCCGGGUGUCACUCAUGCCGAUAGAAGGAGAUGGAGUUCGACUCAGAAGCAUGGGAAAGCUUUAUUCUUCAAACAAGGAAGGGCGUGAGCUCUUGCUCUAGAGCACUAGCUCUCCUGCAAAGUCCUUGGCAACAGGCCAAAAGCAGGGCUGUUUUACAGAGUUCUUGUCAGCAGGGAGGGGGCAGAGUUCUUCCUGGUUGGGUGUAUCUGUGCUGCUCACAGGUGCUCCGGCUUGAAGUGGCAGGGCCAGCAUCUCUGCACACAGCCCUCCACUGCAAUCUUCUGAGCACGGCCCACCACGCUGAGGUGCCGGGUGCAGCAUCUCUGCACACGGCACACCACUGCCGCCAUCUUGAACUGCAGAGUUUUCCGUAGUGUCCCUGAACAGGCUGCAAAGCUGAGGUGUCGGCAUAGCUAUGCCGCGCUAGGAACUCUUGUCUGGAGUUCCCGGUGGUGUACCUCCAUCCUCGGUACCCUAGGAGCAAGACAAACCAGACUAAACACAAAGGACCAAAAAAGGACCCAGAGCACCAUCCUGACUGAAGCAUUUUCUCCCACUGCCAUCUUUCUCCUCCCUGUGUUCACCACUGGGAGAAAGAAAGGCCGGGAACAGGCAAUGACUAGAGCUACUUGUGAAUGGAAGUCAGUCAUUCUGCCACCCUUGGAGUACUGCUGAAGUUUUUCAAAUUGUGGUGCUACAGAGGAUUCUUGAGAGUCCCUUGGAUAGCAAGGGGAUCAAACCAGUUCAUCCUAAAGGAAGUCAACCCUGAAUAUUCAUUGGAAGGACUGAUGCUGAAACUGAAGCUCCAAUACUUUGGUUACCUGGUGCGAAGAGCCAACUCAUUGGAAAAGACCCUGAGGCUGGCAAAGAUUGAAGGCAGGAGGAGAAGGGAACAACAGAGGAUGAGAUGGUUGGAUGGCAUCACCAACCCAAUGGAUAUGGGUUUGAGCAAACUCCAGGAGAUAGUGAAGGACAGGGAAGCCUGGGGUGCUGCAGUCCAUGGGGUCGCAGAGUCAGACAUGAUUUAGCAACCUAACAGCAACAACGACUGGAGGCAAAAUUGUGUUGCAUUGGGUGGUGGCAUGUGAAAGAGAGGGAAAGCAGGUUGGUUCUCUUGAUUUCUUGAAGGGAUGGGAGGUGAUGUCUGUCAGCCUUAGAAGCAGCUGCCAUCUCUCUUGCUCUCCUGUCCAUCUGGCUUUGUAGUUGGCCUGUCAAAAUUAGAUACGGGCUAAGCUGAAGGCAUUAUUCCAAGAAAAAGUUGCCUGUACUUUAUAGUUCAAUAUAGAUGGUCAUCCUAGCAACUGUUCUUCUGUUUUUACCAGAGGGAAGGAGAAGGAAGGUUUGCCAAACUUUCUCAAGAAGCAAAUUACAGCAUGGAAUUCUGUUGACCUCUGUUCAGCUCUCUUUUGAAAAUUCUAGGCUGUCAAGAGCAGGAAGCUUUUCCAACACAGCUGCAUUAUUCCAACAGCAGGGUCACAGUAACUCCUGCUGCCCUGCCUAUAUUGCUUGGAGAAUUUUGUGUAUGUGCAUGUCUUUUAUUCUAUUUUUCCAUCUGGUGACUUUUGUUUUCUUCUAAAUGGUGCUGUUUAAAUGCUUUUCACAAAUGCAAUCUUGAAAAU
ensembl:lncRNA